AAAACGGAGAGUUUGAUCCUGGCUCAGGAUGAACGCUGGCGGUAUGCUUAACACAUGCAAGUCGAACGGAAUCUUCGGAUUUAGUGGCGG
rnacentral:rRNA from 1 species